UAGGGAAUCUUGCCACAAUGGGCGCAAGCCUGAUGGAGCAACACCGCGUGAGUGAAGAAGGGUUUCGGCUCGUAAAGCUCUGUUGUUAAAGAAGAACACGUAUGAGAGUAACUGUUCAUACGUUGACGGUAUUUAACCAGAAAGUCACGGCUAACUACGUGCCAGCAGCCGCGGUAAUACGUAGGUGGCAAGCGUUAUCCGGAUUUAUUGGGCGUAAAGAGAGUGCAGGCGGUUUUUCUAAGUCUGAUGUGAAAGCCUUCGGCUU
rnacentral:rRNA from 1 species